rnacentral:lncRNA from 1 species
UGAUAACUUCGAUUACAAUAAUGGACAGAGACAACUAAUUAUUUGUUUGUUUUACAAUUUAUAAAUUCUUGUCUGAAUUCUAUAAGGCAUUCAAAACUUUAUGAUUGAAAGCUCAUUUCCCUAAUCACGAUAUAAUAAACAGUGAUAUAAGUAUAAGGUGUGAAAAUAAAUGUUCCUGUCAUAAACAAUAUUACCUACGGGCAAUAUCCCCGUACUUAAUCCUAUUGAUGUUAAAUCACUGGUAAACCAAACUAUGACACGGUAAUUAACAACUUGCAGUUAUUUUCCAUGAACAGUUUUAAUCAAUUUUAAAAAGUAAAUUAUCACUGAUAUUAGAUAUAUUUAUUAUAGAUUUAAUCAAAAUACUUG